rnacentral:rRNA from 1 species
AGAGUUUGAUCAUGGCUCAGAAUCAACGCUGGCGGCGUGCCUCAGACAUGCAAGUCGAACGCGAAAGUUCCCUUCGGGGAGCGAGUAGAGUGGCGCACGGGUGAGUAACACGUAGGUAAUCUACCUUUGGAUUGGGAAUAACAACCGGAAACGGUUGCUAAUACCGAAUAAUGCAGCGGCACCUAAUGGUGACAGUUGUUAAAGCGGGGGAUCGCAAGACCUCGCGUCUAAAGAGGAGCCUGCGGCGGAUUAGCUAGUUGGUAAGGUAACGGCUUACCAAGGCGAUGAUCCGUAGCCGGCCUGAGAGGGCGGUCGGCCACACUGACACUGACAUACGGGUCAGACUCCUACGGGAGGCAGCAGUCGGGAAUUUUGGGCAAUGGGCGAAAGCCUGACCCAGCAACGCCGCGUGAAGGAUGAAAUCCUUCGGGAUGUAAACUUCGCAAGAACAGGAAGAAUAAGUAAGAGUUAAUAUCUCUUACGAUGACGGUACUGUUUGUAAGCUCCGGCUAACUCCGUGCCAGCAGCCGCGGUA